AGGACGAACGCUGGCGGCGUGCUUAACACAUGCAAGUCACGGGGGCCCGCAAGGGCAACCGGCGAACGGGUGCGUAACACGUGAGCAACCUGCCUUUGUGUGGGGGAUAGCCGGGCUAACGCCCGGGUAAUACCGCAUACGGUUCUCGAGGGAGUCCCUUGGGAAAGAAACCUCCGGGGCACAGAGAGGGGCUCGCGGCCUAUCAGCUUGUUGGCGGGGUAAUGGCCCACCAAGGCGACGACGGGUAGCUGGU
rnacentral:rRNA from 1 species